UUGAAACGGGUUUGGAGUGACCCGGUUGCCGUAUGGCGUCGCCUUGGCGUCCCGACGUCGCCAAAGCUUCGCCGUUUGACGAGAAGCCGUGGCGCCGAGCGUUCGCCAGGAAAGAUCGCCUUGCCGCUUGGCGAUGUUAGGACGCCUAGGCGACGCCAUAUGGCGAGGCUAUCCGUCCCAGCGGAUCCCUAGCAUCUGUUGCAUCUCAUAGCUUUUUGGCUUAUGUUGAUAUUCUUCAAAUUCGACUUGAGCUUUAUUGUGGCAUCAACCCAAUUUUUUUAACCCGAAGAGCUUCUGGGUUCUGCUCAGCUCAGGCUGGUUUGUGUGUACACUCCAGUCCAGUCCAGUGAUGCUUGUUCAUUUUUGAGAAGUCGAUUCAAAAAGAUUGUCCCUGUUAGAGAAACUUGGUGUCCAGUGAAGAAAUUGAAGACAAAGAAAGUCUCAUAUUCGAGCAUCAUGCCUAUCUGCAUAACUUCCAUGGAGGAAGUCAUAAAGAGAUUAAAUGGAUUACCACAAGGCAGUCGGAUGCCUCUAGUUGUGACCCUCUGAGAUUCGAGGCUACUCUUGUUCGACAGCACUAAAGCGAGUCCACCAUUUUGAUAGAGCUCCGUCUGUUGCAUUGUGUGGACCAAAGUCUCAGUCUCUUCCAAUAGCCAGUUCCUCACAGCACUUACCGGCUCAGGGAUGCAUCCAAAUGUGACCAGGAAAAUCUUUUUCUCACCAGCAUAGAGGUUGCUGAUAUUGACUUCCCCGUGGUUAGGGUAAAUCCGGUUUUCGAAUUUGGCAGAUAGGAUCUUUGCGAUCGGCAAGCUAGGAAUUGUCGCAACCCUUAGAAGGAUGUCCUGAGUGUUGGAUUAUACUGUAAAGCAAACUUUUAGUACGCUUUUGUAUCAUUCAAUUUCCUUAUUAACUGGAAUAAAUAAAUUGUUAUUUCACAUUGUGUUGCUUUUAUUUAUGUUUUAUAUA